rnacentral:rRNA from 1 species
GAACGCUCUCUCGCAAGAUAGGGAGUGGCGGACGGGUGAGGAACACGUGGGUAUCUACCUGAAGGUGAGGAAUACCAGCGAGAAAUCGCUGACAAGACCGCAUAGCUUCUGCGCAAGUAGAAGAAGGUCGCAAGACGCCUUGAGAUGAGCCUGCGCCCGAUUAGCCAGUUGGUGGGGUAACAGCCUACCAAGGCGACGAUCGGUAGCUGGUCUGAGAGGACGAUCAGCCACACUGGGAUUGAGAACGGCCCAGACUCCUACGGGGGGCAGCAGUGAGGAAUUUUCGGCAAUGGGGGAAACCCUGACCGAGCAACGCCGCGUGCAGGAAGACGGCCUUCGGGUUGUAAACUGCUUUUCUCUAGGACGAGCGAGGACGGUACUAGAGGAAUCAGCCUCGGCUAACUACGUGCCAGCAGCCGCGGUAAU